GAUGAAGAACGCAGCGAAAUGCGAUAAGUAAUGUGAAUUGCAGAAUUCAGUGAAUCAUCGAAUCUUUGAACGCACAUUGCGCCCCCUGGUAUUCCGGGGGGCAUGCCUGUUCGAGCGUCAUUUCACCACUCAAGCCUCGCUUGGUAUUGGGCAACGCGGUCCGCCGCGUGCCUCAAAUCGACCGGCUGGGUCUUCUGUCCCCUAAGCGUUGUGGAAACUAUUCGCUAAAGGGUGUUCGGGAGGCUACGCCGUAAAACAACCCCAUUUCUAAGGUUGACCUCGGAUCAGGUAGGGAUACCCGCUGAACGUAAGCAUAUCAAUAAGCGGAGGA
rnacentral:misc_RNA from 1 species